AUAAGAAAAGGGGAAAAAGGAUAAAAAAAACUUUGCCACAAACUGAGCCGCAGAGCCGCCCUGCCCGCCCCCACCUCUUCCUGUUCUCUGCUUUCCCAGGCUCGGCACCAAAGCCAUAGGUGGGAGGAGGUGCCCCCCCCACCCCAGUGGGUGUGGCCGGGGAGGCGCUGCCAGCCCCCUGGCUGCUGGAGGCGCCAGGUCUUGGUGCCACAGAGAGCACCCCCACUGCCCAUCCCCCGGGCCUGUGGCCUGGCAGGUGUUGAGGGACCAGGGGGGGAAGGCCGGCCGGGGCAGGACAGUCCCCAGCUGGCGGGGGAGGGGGGUCUGCCCCCAGCUGCCCUCGGCUGUUUCUUCUGUUUGUUCUUUUGGCUCCCAGCCCUGUGUCCCUGUCCCCCCUCCUUUGAGCAGAAGUCCUGUCCCUGUCCCCUCUGUCCCCACCCCGUUCCCCGAGAAAAUAAGCUAUCAUUGUUGUAUUUGCAAUCUAUGGAUGAGAGGUUUAAGUAUUUAUUAUUAUUGGUUAAUGAUUCUGAUGGUCGAAUAUGUAAUCUGCCUCCCGUCCGUCUGUCUGUCGCGGCGGGUUUCUGAGGUGACCCUGGGUGCGCAAGAUGCACUGCCCCCCCUCACGCCCCCCCCGGGGGGCCACUGGCUGGGCCCCAGCUCUCUGGGGGCAGGUGCUGCGGCCGCCCCUGCCCCCGUCCUUCCCCAGGGCUGCAGCCGUCCUGGGGCUUCUGUCCUGGGGCGCGUGGAGGCUCUUGCUCUGCGUCCUGACCCAGCUGCCCUCCUGUGCUGGGGGGACGGCCAGGCACUGGGCCAGAGCCCUCCCUGGUCACCUCCGCACACCGUCCAAGGCGCCAGCCAGUCCCCUCCCAGUCUCUCAGCCCUCCCGCCCCUCCGGCCCCUGGGCCCUGGCAUGGGGGGGGUCCCCCAGAAUGGACCCAGCCCCCUCCUAUUAUUUGCUGGAAAGUCCAGCGGAGGAGAGGUGGCUGGUCCCCCCGCAGGGCUCCCGGUCUCUCUGGACCGGGCAGCCCACCCACCUGCCCGCCCCCCUCAGAGCCCCGCCCCCAGUGCCACCCCUCCCCCCGCACCCCCAUCCUGUCCCCUUCUUUUGUAUUUGGAAACAACGUGUUGUAAUAAACCUGAGAUGGAUGUUU
rnacentral:lncRNA from 1 species